rfam:Cricetulus griseus cell line CHO-K1, whole genome shotgun sequence.
GUAGGUGUAGCUCAGUAGUAGGGCUCUUGCCUGGUGCGUGCAAGGUCCUGGGUUUGAUUUACAGCACCCACA